rnacentral:rRNA from 1 species
UACGUAGGGUGCGAGCGUUGUCCGGAAUUAUUGGGCGUAAAGAGCUCGUAGGCGGUUUGUCGCGUCGACUGUGAAAACCUACAGCUUAACUGUGGGCUUGCAGUCGAUACGGGCAGACUUGAGUUCGGUAGGGGAGACUGGAAUUCCUGGUGUAGCGGUGAAAUGCGUAGAGAUCGGGAGGAACACCAGUGGCGAAGGCGGCCCUCUGGGCCGGGCCUGACGCUGAGACGCGAGGGCGUGGGGAGCGAACGGG